UUGUCUGGCCCUGCCGACCCACGACCCACGACCCACUGACCCACGAAUCAGCCCGGCCGUCGUGUGCACCAUGUCUGGCUCCUCCAGUGUCGCCGCUAUGAAGAAAGUGGUUCAACAGCUCCAACUGGAGGCCAGGCUCAACUGCGUAAAAGUUUCCCAGGCAGCUGCAGACUUGAAACAAUUCUGUCUGCAGAAUGCUCAACAUGACCCUUUGCUGACUAGAGCAUCUUCAAGUACAAAUCCCUUCAGACCCCAGAAAGUCUGUUCCUUUUUGUAGUAAAAUGAAUCUUUCAAAGGUUUCCCAAACCACUCCUUAUGAUCCAGUGAAUAUUCAAGAGAGCUACAUUUGAAGCCUGUGCAAAAGCUUAUCCCUGUAACACAUGUGCCAUAAUAUACAAACUUCUACUUUUGUCACUCCUUAACAUCUACCUCUCUGAAUUUUCAUGAAUUUCUAUUUCACAAGGGUAACUGCUUUAUAUACACUGGCAGCAGCAUACAAUAAAACUUAGUAUGAAAAAAA